GGCAGUGUAGCCUAGUGGUAAAGUGCUGGACCACCAAGCGUGAGGUCGUGGGUUCAAACCCCACCACGGGCA
rnacentral:tRNA from 1 species